rnacentral:rRNA from 1 species
GAUGAACGCUGGCGGCGUGCCUAAUACAUGCAAGUCGAGCGAAUGGAUUGAGAGCUUGCUCUUAUGAAGUUAGCGGCGGACGGGUGAGUAACACGUGGGUAACCUGCCCAUAAGACUGGGAUAACUCCGGGAAACCGGGGCUAAUACCGGAUAACAUUUUGAACCGCAUGGUUCGAAAUUGAAAGGCGGCUUCGGCUGUCACUUAUGGAUGGACCCGCGUCGCAUUAGCUAGGUGGUGAGGUAACGGCUCACCAAGGCAACGAUGCGUAGCCGACCUGAGAGGGUGAUCGGCCACACGGGGACUGAAACACGGCCCAGACUCCUACGGGAGGCAGCAGUAGGGAAUCUUCCGCAAUGGACGAAAGUCUGACGGAGCAACGCCGCGUGAGUGAUGAAGGCUUUCGGGUCGUAAAACUCUGUUGUUAGGGAAGAACAAGUGCUAGUUGAAUAAGCUGGCACCUUGACGGUACCUAACCAGAAAGCCACGGCUAACUACGUGCCAGCCGCCGCGGUAA